UUGACUUGCCAUUUAAAUC
rnacentral:snRNA from 1 species